rnacentral:misc_RNA from 1 species
ACCAGUGUUGGAAGUCAAACUCAGCUGCUUCUUUAAAUGAUAAUCCGUAAUUUCAGCUGCACGCCUACAUAUCUCCAGAGCACGGCGUGCAUCUCCUGAAAUAGCAGCUACCUUUCUCGAUGCGAAUUCAAUAGCUUGUUUCUCAAACGCAUUGAUUCCUUCAAGGCGGCUCGAAAUGAUUUCUUGAAGUUGCUGAUAGUUAUAAGGGCCAAAACAAAGCCUUUCAAUACCCAUUCGGCUUGAAAUUCGAGGAAGUAACUUCUCAGGUAGGUCCA